GCCGUCUCUCUCUGUCUCUGGUGCGUGCGGCGGUGCGGGGCGCCGCCGCCUGCCCCUCGCCUCGCACGCCGGCGAUGGGCUUGCUUCGUUCGCUCCGUCCCUCCCGACAUCAUCUCCCUCCCGGCGGCGCAUGCGCAUGCGCAUCUAAAGAACGCCGUGCGCCGGUGAGGCAGCCGCGACGGCGGCCGGCCCCGUCCUCUCCGUCUAAGAAGCAGCCGCCUCAGGUUGCACCUUACAAUAUUUAUUAUUAAAGGUCGGCGAGAGGUCUUUAUUAAGAGUCAGUAAUACAACUGAGAUACUGCUACAUCUGACCCAAGACUCAUUCGGUUCUUUUGCUGUGCACCUGAAAACUUUCUAGGAGGGAGGUAUGAAAAAAAGAAGAAAAGCCUUUUUUUUAUUAAGAGCAACUCCAGCAAUGUCCUCAAAUUUGAGCCCCUACUCUCGUGGUGACUCCUCACUGGUGGAAGGGAGCUCAAGGUUGGGGUGGCGCUCCGAGAAGGCCUGCUCGAGGUUGCCCUUGGGAUGCUCUUGGAUUGGCCAAUAAUGAUUGAGGGGAGCUUGUGGGCUCAAGCAAUUGGCGGAGGAGGAGCUCAGAGGUUGGGUGGCGCUCGAAAAGGCCUGCUCGAGGUCACCCUUGGAAUGAUCAGUGAUGGACGAGAGCUUGUGGGCUCAGCUAGCUGGCGGAAGAGGAGCUCAAGGGUGGUGCGGAGCUCAAGGAAGUUACUCAGCUGGACUUGGAGAAGAUGAACUCGGUGGAAAAAGAGGAGGAAAGGGAGGCUGGAUCAUGGGAGGUAGGAGAGGAUUCCAGCCAGUGAGGAGGCCAGAUCUGAUGAUUACAAGGUUUUCUAUAGUCACAUUAUAGUCCAUUGUAUCUUUUUUAUCAUAGUGUAUGAUGUGUAGCACUAAAAAUAGAAUAUACCGUGUACCUUUUUUUGUUCCUUAUCCAUCCCCAUUUGGAUGACUUGUGAUGUAGAGAUGUAAGGUUAGCAC